GACGAACGCUGGCGGCGUGCUUAACACAUGCAAGUCGAACGGAAAGGCCCUGUUCUUGUGGGGUGCUCGAGUGGCGAACGGGUGAGUAUCACGUGAGUAACCUGCCCCUGACUUUGGGAUAACUUCUGGAAACUGGGGCUCUUACCGGAUAUGAGCUCCUGCUGCAUGGUGGUGGUUGGAGAGUUUCGGCGGUUGGGGAUGGACUCGCGGCUUAUCAGCUUGUUGGUGGGGUAGUGGCUUACCAAGGCUUUGACGGGUAGCCGGCCUGAGAGGGUGACCGGCCACAUUGGGACUGGGAUGCGGCCAAGACUCCUACGGGAGGCAGCAGUGGGGGAUAGUGCACAAUGGGCGGAAGCCUGAUGCAGCAACGCCGCGUGCGGGAUGACGGCCGUCGGGUUGUAAACCGCGUUCGCCUGUGACGAAGCGUGAGUGACGGUAAUGGGUAAAGAAGCACCGGCUAACUACGUG
rnacentral:rRNA from 1 species